UCCCUAACCCUGCAGAAAAGCCUCCAUCUUCCUCCCUUCUCUCUUUCUCUGCCUACACACCAGCCCACAGAAUUCUCUCUCUCCUCCUCCUCCUCCUCCUCCUCCUCCUCAAUUUUGUUCUGUGCGCCGCUCCUCUGCACUCACCUCUAUCGCUAACCGACCAUAGCCCAAACACCUUCCUUCCUCUACAAAAAAGAAAAGAACUCAUGUUCAUACUCAAUCUCCCAACUUCAAAAUUCCUGAAAUAAAAGGCUAGAUUCACUCUAAAAGUAGCAAAAGUUAUCAAAUUGGACGUUAAUUAGAGAUUGUAAUUAGACGUUUCCUCUUCGAACAGCCUCGGCCUUUCAUUUCAUACGGUUCUGCUUCGCUGUUGCCCUCUCCGUCAGCCUUGGAUGUCAUGGCCUAAGGUAUAGCGCAUGGGCAGCGUUCUAAAGAUUGCACUACAGCUGGAUGACUAACAUACUCCAUUUUUAUCACUUUCCCGCCAAAAUGCUGCUAGGUGGCAGACCAAAAAACUCUCACUUUAGAUAUUGAUAGAUUGGUGCAUUCACAAAAGGCAAUGUUUGCUGAGAUAGCCAUUAGCUGGCUGCCAAUAAUAUUAUUCAUGAUAAAUAAAUAAGUUGGUUUUUUUUCAUGUUAUUGUUUAA